rnacentral:sRNA from 1 species
GCCAGACAUGGUGGUGCAUGCCUGUAAUCCCAGCGACUUGGGAGGCUGAAGCAGGAUGAUCGCAAGUUCAAAGCCAGCUUCAG